rnacentral:sRNA from 1 species
GUCGGGUACAGUGGUGCAUGCCUGUAGUCCCAGUGACUUGGAAGGCUGAGGCAGGAGGAUUGCAAGUUUGAGGCUAGCCUCUGUAACAUAGCAAGACCCUCUCUCAA